CUCAGUCUCAGCGUGCUCUUAUCCAAGCCUUCAGGCUCUGCUUCUCGGGCCAGUCAGAGAAUUGUUCUCCUCCCCCCGAGAAACACGCUCCCCCCCGUCGCCGCUCAGCCGGCACUCUCACUUUCUCCCAGCCUGGCUGAGUCUCCGUUCUUCGGUCGCUCGGCACUGCCCAGUGCCUUUGAUCAACAUCGAGCUGCUUUGUACCGUCUCCAGAAUUUGUCAAUCAGAUAAGGCCGUAUCUCGCCGAUAAGGGAGGGAGACCAGACGAGCCGAGAAAGAGACAGUCUUCGGGAUCCCCCGUGCGUGGGAUCGGGAUUCCUGGCUGUAUCGGAAGAUAACUGCUGGUUUGGUUUGUUUAGAUGAACAAGAUUUUUUUUUGUUCGGAGUAUUUUCACCGAUGAGGGACAGGAGAAGGGGUUUCUCCUGAUCCUGCUUGUGGGCUAGGGGGCUUUGCGGAGAAGAAUGCAAGCAGGGCUUAGCUGCAGACAAGGCACAGACCAACAAUUCAGAAUAAGGUGGAGUGAGUGGGACCUGUCUGUUCGAGGGAGCAGCCUGCUUUGCUUCUGGCUGACAUCGGCUUCUUGGGGCAUCAUUCUGAGUCCUAAGAAAUCAACUCAGGUUUCCAGCCUUGCUCCUGCCUUGGACCCUGCCCUGCCUCAAUCUGGAUUACCUGAUUCUGAGCUUCCUCUCUGAUCCCUGCCCACCUGACUCCAUCUUUGACCCUGGGCUCUGGUAUCCGGCCUCUACCGCCUGUCCUGACUAGCCUGUCCUAGACUUGGGGAGCAGCUGCCGCAGGUCUGAUGGAAUUCACUCCGCGGCAGAGACGCCUUUUCAUCUGUUCCUCGCAGCCAGCGUCACCCUCCACAAGCAUCUGCUUCUCUGGACAAGACUUCAGCACUGGCGGCGUUAAUAUGUGUCUUCUGGAGUGCAGCGGAGCAUGUGUGCAGUACAUGGGCGGACGCCGAGGUACCCCCACUUCCACGCAGGCACGGAGCAUCUUCUUGGACCAAGAUCCCGCAAGACCAACAACAGUACAAACACAUCGUCAGCACGGCGUUGGCGGGAUCGCAGCUCGGAACACGGCAGAACAGCUGUGGCCGGUCUUGGACCGGUCCUCGCUAAGCAGCAAGCAACACUGGCCAACACUGGGCUGUUCCGACUGACUGACCUGCCAGACCCCGCCCCCAGGUGGCGCUCUUCAGAAGCUACACCGUGACACAUUUUACCUGUAUUUACAU